CUACGGGUGGCUGCAGUCGCGAAACCUUUACAAUGCACGAAAGUGUGAUAAGGGAAUCCUAAGUGCUUGCUUUCGAGUAGGCUUUUUUUAAGAAUAAAAAUCUUGAAGAAUAAGUGGUGGGAAAGACUGGUGCCAGCCGCCGCGGUAACACCAGCGCCACUAGUGGUGAUCAUGAUUAUUGGGCCUAAAGCAUCCGUAGUCUGUUCAUUAAGUCUGUUGUGAAAUUGUUGACAUUAAUUUAACAACGUGCAAUAGAUACUGAUAAACUAGGGACCGGGAGGAGAUAGAAGUAUUUCAUGGGGAACGGUAAAAUGUUAUAAUCCUUGAAAGACUACCUGUGGCGAAGGCGUCUAUCUAUAACGGGUCUGACGAUGAGGGAUGAAAGCUGGGGUAGCAAAACGGAUUAGAUACCCGAGUAGUC
rnacentral:rRNA from 1 species